rnacentral:tRNA from 1 species
UGCGGUGUAGAGAAGCCCGGUCAAUCUCGUUUGGUUCAUAACCAGAAGAUCGCUGGUUCAAAUCCAGCCGCCGCAACCA